AGGAAAUAAUCCAAGAGGGCAGUUUUUGAAUGGCAUAAAAUAUGUCAUAAGUCCGGUACUUCUGAUACUGCUUACAAAUGUAUCCUGCCAUUUGGGUGUGUGUGUGUGUGUGUGUGUGUGUGUGUGUGUGUGUGUGUUUAAUGCUCUGAUCUGGUAUAGUUAGCAAAAUCCUA